AUUGAACGCUGGCGGCAGGCCUAACACAUGCAAGUCGAACGAGUGGCGGACGGGUGAGUAAUGUCUGGGAAACUGCCCGAUGGAGGGGGAUAACUACUGGAAACGGUAGCUAAUCCCGCAUACCAUCGGAUGUGCACAGAUGGGAUUAGCUUGUAGGUGAGGUAACGGCUCACCUAGGCGACGAUCCCUAGCUGGUCUGAGAGGAUGACCAGCAAGACUGGAACGGAGAAACGGGCCAGACGCCUACGGGGGGCAGCAGUGGGGAAUAUUGCAAAAGGGGCGCAAGCCUGAUGCAGCCAUGCCGGGUGUAUGAAGAAGGCCUUCGGGUUGUAAAGUACUUUCAGCGGGGAGGCGUUACCCGCCGAAGAAGCACCGGCUAACUCCGUGCCAGCAGCCGCGGUAAUUC
rnacentral:rRNA from 1 species